rnacentral:lncRNA from 1 species
GCUGUGCUGCAGAAGAGAAACAAACGCUGCCACUAGAGAAAGCUCUGCGGAUACUCAGAUCCUUGAGGCACUUGACAAUGUUUGUGUGAAAGCCGAUGAAAACCACAGGGCAUGAUGUGGUGUCAUGAACUCCAGUUCCUUUCUGGAGCUGGUUCAUGCUCGUGGCUAGAUGUCAUGUUUAUCUUACACCAAGCCUCUGUUAGGUCUCCAUGGAAAGGAAGACAACUAAGUUAGAGACUAUUUAGUAGUGGCUCGAUGAAGCAGAGCCAAGUGGAUUAAGCAAGCAGUCUACGAAGUUCAACAACUGAACCGAGUUAAGAAGACAGAUUUCCUUAUUCUUAGUCCUACAUUAACUUGCCCAUCAUUGACUUCUAAAGUCAAACAUGGCAAUGCAAAAUCUCUCACCUAGAACUCUGCAGAUGAGUCAAGAGAGGAAAACACAGGAACCGAAUGACAGGCAUUGCUUAAUCUGGUCUGGUCUAUGUCGAAAAAUGCAACGUGACAUGGCAGUAAUGUUAAGAGCACGGUGAGAGUGCAGUUCUUGGUGAGCACUCUUCCCAGAGUUCCAGCUCAGUCACCACACACGGGAAUGGUGAACCGGCAUCUAGCUCUAACCGUGUUAAGAUGUAAGUACUAGCAUUUGUCACACAAUUCAUGCAUUAAAAAAAAAUGCUGCUGAGAAUCAAAUGAUAGCAGUCUGCAAAG